rnacentral:tRNA from 1 species
UAGUUUUGAAAUUCUGAAGAAUGUUUCACUUACAAUGAAAAAGUCCGUUAGGCUUAACUAU